rnacentral:rRNA from 1 species
AGAACGAACGCUGGCGGCAUGCCUAACACAUGCAAGUCGAACGCGUGUAGCGAUACACGAGUGGCGGACGGGUGAGUAACGCGUGGGAACCUGCCCUGGAGUGGGGGAUAACCGAUGGAAACGUCGGCUAAUACCGCAUACGACCUGAGGGUGAAAGAUUUAUCGCUCUAGGAGGGGCCCGCGUCGGAUUAGCUAGUUGGUGAGGUAAUGGCUCACCAAGGCUAUGAUCCGUAGCUGGUCUGAGAGGAUGAUCAGCCACACUGGGACUGAGACACGGCCCAGACUCCUACGGGAGGCAGCAGUGGGGAAUAUUGGACAAUGGGGGCAACCCUGAUCCAGCAAUGCCGCGUGAGUGAUGAAGGCCUUAGGGUUGUAAAGCUCUUUCGCCCACGACGAUGAUGACGGUAGUGGGAGAAGAAGCCCGGCUAACUUCGUGCCAGCAGCCGC